UACGAAGGGUGCAAGCGUUACUCGGAAUUACUGGGCGUAAAGCGUGCGUAGGUGGUUUGUUAAGUCGGGUGUGAAAGCCCCGGGCUCAACCUGGGAAUUGCAUUCGAGACUGAAUAGCUAGGGUACGGUAGAGGGAAGUGGAAUUUCCGGUGUAGCGGUGAAAUGCGUAGAUAUCGGAAGGAACAUCAGUGGCGAAGGCGGCUCACUGGACCGGAACUGACGCUGAGGCGCGAAAGCGUGGGGAGCAAACAGG
rnacentral:rRNA from 1 species